AGAGUUUGAUCCUGGCUCAGGACGAACGCUGGCGGCGUGCUUAACACAUGCAAGUCGAACGAUGAUGCCCAGCUUGCUGGGCGGAUUAGUGGCGAACGGGUGAGUAAUACGUGAGUAACCUGCCCUUGACUCUGGGAUAAGCCUGGGAAACUGGGUCUAAUACUGGAUACUACCUCUUGCCGCAUGGUGGGUGGUGGAAAGGGUUUUACUGGUUUUGGAUGGGCUCACGGCCUAUCAGCUUGUUGGUGGGGUAAUGGCUCACCAAGGCGACGACGGGUAGCCGGCCUGAGAGGGUGACCGGCCACACUGGGACUGAGACACGGCCCAGACUCCUACGGGAGGCAGCAGUGGGGAAUAUUGCACAAUGGGCGGAAGCCUGAUGCAGCGACGCCGCGUGAGGGAUGACGGCCUUCGGGUUGUAAACCUCUUUCAGUAGGGAAGAAGCGAGAGUGACGGUACCUGCAGAAGAAGCGCCGGCUAACUACGUGCCAGCAGCCGCGGUAAUACGUAGGGCGCAAGCGUUGUCCGGAAUUAUUGGGCGUAAAGAGCUCGUAGGCGGUUUGUCGCGUCUGCUGUGAAAGCCCGGGGCUCAACCCCGGGUCUGCAGUGGGUACGGGCAGACUAGAGUGCAGUAGGGGAGACUGGAAUUCCUGGUGUAGCGGUGAAAU
rnacentral:rRNA from 1 species